GAUGAACGCUGGCGGCGUGCUUAACACAUGCAAGUCGAACGGGAUCCAAGGGGUGCUUGCACUUUUUGGUGAGAGUGGCGAACGGGUGAGUAACACGUGAGUAACCUGUCCUUUUCUUUGGGAUAAGCAUUCGAAAGGGUGUUUAAUACCUUAUGUUCUGUCUGCCUCGCAUGGGGUGGGUGGGAAAGGCUUUGGCCGGACUUGGGUGGGCUCGCGGUCUAUCAGCUUGUUGGUGGGGUGAUGGCUUACCAAGGCUUUGACGGGUAGCCGGCCUGAGAGGGUGGUCGAUCUCAUUGGGGCUGAGAUCCGGCCCAGACUCCUGCGGGAGGCAGCAGUGGGGGAUAUUGCACAAUGGGCGGAAGCCUGAUGCAGCGACGCCGCGUGGGGUAUGAAGGCCUUCGGGUUGUAAACUUCUUUUGCUCUGAACGAGGCAUGCCAGUGGGUGUGUUGAGUGUAGGGGUUGAUUAGCGCCGGCUAACUACGUG
rnacentral:rRNA from 1 species